CACGGCACGGCCGUAGCGCGGUGGUCCCCACCUGACUACAUGCCGAACUCAGAAGUGAAACGCCGUAGCGCCGAUGGUAGUGUGGGGAUGUCCCCAUGCGAGGAAGUAGGGAACUACCCGGGC
rnacentral:rRNA from 1 species